UACGUAGGUGGCAAGCGUUGUCCGGAAUUAUUGGGCGUAAAGCGCGCGCAGGCGGUCUUUUAAGUCUGAUGUGGAAAGCCCACGGCCUCAACCGUGGAGGGUCAUUGGAAACUGGGGGACUUGAGUGCAGAAGAGGAAAGUGGAAUUCCAAGUGUAGCGGUGAAAUGCGUAGAGGAUUUGGAAGGAACACCAGUGGCGAAAGGCGACUUUCGAUGGUCUGGUAACUGACGCUGAGGCGCGAAAGCGUGGGGAGCAAAC
rnacentral:rRNA from 1 species